CAGCAGGCAGGAGCUGGACCCCAACUCUGCUGUGGGCAGGAUCACCGCCGUUUUCCAAUAUCUGGUCUCCUGCUGUCUAGCAUGGUGGCUGCGGCAGCACCUAUUGAUGUGGAGGUGUGACAUUAAGACAUUAUGUGGAAGAAAAGUCCUGCCCUGGAGAGUCACCCAGACUCAAAUCACUGCUAUUUGAGGGCUAUUUGUCACUGUAUCAUGACCUGUACUGUCCUGACUGAUACCAAGUCUCCCUUUUAGGCACCCAUCAACAUGGAAAGGGGCUGUCUGGAAGAAGCUGUGCCCGUAAGCAAGAAUAUGGGGGCAGGUGUCUCCCCAGGGCAGGGGCACCCUGGUUCCAGGAAGGAGCCACCAGCUUGAGCCAACAAAAUGUUCUGGGGGGGAGGUAAGAGCUUUGGACAGAGACAAACCACCGUGCCCAAAUCUGAAGACUGGGGUUGGAUCAGAAAGGGAGUAAAGCUGGCUUGUGGGGGGUUUUGGGGGAGAAGCUUAAACUAUGUCCAAAGCCUUGACAUUCUGGUGGCAUACAAGGGGUAGGGGGAAUUUCCAACCACAACAUGCUGGAUUGAUUUGGACAAAGAAAAUUUUGCCAAAUUUAAAAAUCACAAAAAAGCCCUGCUUUUCUUAAUUUUUAAAGAUUUUAUUCAUUCACUCAUGAGAGACACACAGAGAGAGGCAGAGACACAGGCAGAGGGAGAAGCAGGCUCCUUCCGAGGAGCGCGAUGUGGGACUAGAUCCCAGGACCCCAGGAUCACGACCUGAGCCAAAGGUAGAUGCUCAACCACUGAGCCAUCCAGGUGCCCCAAAACAGGGUUGCUUUUGCUAAAAAAAAUGAAAGAUACACCUGAGAGGAAGGUCAGCUGCUUCACCAGGAUGGGCUUUGUUCAGUACCAGGGAGCAUUGACUCUCACUGCCAUGAAAUGGGCAGUGAGUGGUUGCAUCCCAGGGUGUGAACUCUGGGUUCUGACCGCUGGCUCUGGCUGAUUUGGGGGCAGCUGCCAAGAUGUAAGCUUCUCAGCCUGGGGCCACCAGACUGCCUGGCUCACACCCUCGGAAGGGCCGGGUGCCCCUGGGACCGUCUGAACCUGCUGCAGACAAGGUUGGCUCCCACAGGUUCAGCUUCUGUGGGCUCCAGAACCCUGUGCCCAGAUUUCCCACCUAUUAGGCCAGGACUCCAGGGCUGUCAUGGUACUUUUCACAUGUGUGUGUGAUUUUUUUGGUUUAUGUUGGUCUCUUUCUGUCUUUAAUUAAAUUUCUUUUGGAAAACAUCCAUCUCCACAGAACCAAGGGAUUAAAAAGUUUUCAGUUUUGUUUUUGAUGUUUGUUUUCCCCCCAUCUGUGCCAUGCCUUGGGCCCUUAGUGACUGAUUUUCACGUUGGGGACAGCAGGUACCUGAUUGGGGGAAGGAGUGU